rnacentral:rRNA from 1 species
GAGGUUCUUUUGAACCUAGCGGCGAAUGGGUGAGUAACACGUGCUUAAUCUACCCUUUAGAUUGGAAUACCCAAUGGAAACAUUGGCUAAUGCCGGAUACGCAUGGAAUCGCAUGAUUCCGUUGUGAAAGGAGCCUUUAAAGCUCCGCUAGAGGAUGAGGGUGCGGAACAUUAGUUAGUUGGUAGGGUAAUGGCCUACCAAGACUAUGAUGUUUAGCCGGGUCGAGAGACUGAACGGCCACAUUGGGACUGAGAUACGGCCCAAACUCCUACGGGAGGCAGCAGUAGGGAAUAUUCCACAAUGAGCGAAAGCUUGAUGGAGCGACACAGCGUGCACGAUGAAGGUCUUCGGAUUGUAAAGUGCUGUUAUAGGGAAAGAACACCUGGUUGAGGAAAUGCUUCCAGGCUGACGGUACCCUGUCAGAAAGCGAUGGCUAACUAUGUGCCAGCAGCCGCGGUAAUACAUAGGUCGCAAGCGUUAUCCGGAAUUAUUGGGCGUAAAGCGUUCGUAGGCUGUUUAUUAAGUCUGGAGUCAAAUCCCAGGGCUCAACCCUGGCUCGCUUUGGAUACUGGUAAACUAGAGUUAGAUAGAGGUAAGCGGAAUUCCAUGUGAAGCGGUGAAAUGCGUAGAUAUAUGGAAGAACACCAAAGGCGAAGGCAGCUUACUGGGUCUAUACUGACGCUGAGGGACGAAAGCGUGGGGAGCAAACAGGAUUAGAUACCCUGGUAGUCCACGCCGUAAACGAUGAUCAUUAGUCGGUGGAGAGUUCACUGACGCAGCUAACGCAUUAAAUGAUCCGCCUGAGUAGUAUGCUCGCAAGAGUGAAACUUAAAGGAAUUGACGGGGACCCGCACAAGCGGUGGAGCAUGUGGUUUAAUUUGAAGAUACGCGGAGAACCUUACCCACUCUUGACAUCCUUCGCAAUGCUAUAGAGAUAUAGCGGAGGUUAACGGAGUGACAGAUGGUGCAUGGUUGUCGUCAGCUCGUGUCGUGAGAUGUUUGGUCAAGUCCUGCAACGAGCGCAACCCCUAUCUUUAGUUACUAACGAGUCAUGUCGAGGACUCUAGAGAUACUGCCUGGGUAACUGGGAGGAAGGUGGGGAUGACGUCAAAUCAUCAUGCCUCUUACGAGUGGGGCAACACACGUGCUACAAUGGUCGGUACAAAGAGAAGCAAUAUGGCGACAUGGAGCAAAUCUCAAAAAGCCGAUCUCAGUUCGGAUUGGAGUCUGCAAUUCGACUCCAUGAAGUCGGAAUCGCUAGUAAUCGCAGAUCAGCUACGCUGCGGUGAAUACGUUCUCGGGUCUUGUACACACCGCCCGUCACACCAUGGGAGCUGGUAAUACCCAAAGUCGGU